ensembl:snRNA U6 U6 spliceosomal RNA
UGCUGUAUUCACUUCAGCACACUACUAAAAUUGUCAUGAUACAGAAGAUUACCAUGGCCCUGAAUAAGGAUGACAUGAAAAUUUGUGAAGUGUCCCAUAUUUUA